rnacentral:rRNA from 1 species
UGGGGAAUAUUGCCCAAUGGGGGAAACCUGAUGCAGCGACGCCGCGUGAGGGAUGACGGCUUCGGUGUAAACUCUUUCAGUAGGGAAGAAGCCCUUCGGGGUGACGGUACUGCAGAAGAAGUACCGGCUAACUACGUGCCAGCAGCCGCGGUAAUACGUAGGGUACAAGCGUUGUCCGGAAUUAUUGGGCGUAAAGAGCUCGUAGGCGGUCCGUCGCGUCUGCUGUGGAAUCGCAAGGCUCAACCUUGCGCGUGCAGUGGGUACGGGCGGACUAGAGUGCAGUAGGGGAGUCCGGAAUUCCUGGUGUAGCGGUGAAAUGCGCAGAUAUCAGGAGGAACACCGGUGGCGAAGGCGGGACUCUGGGCUGUUACUGACGCUGAGGAGCGAAAGCAUGGGGAGCGAACAGGAUUAGAUACCCUGGUAGUCCAUGCCGUAAACGUUGGGCACUAGGUGUGGGGCUCAUUCCACGAGUUCCGCGCCGCAGCUAACGCAUUAAGUGCCCCGCCUGGGGAGUACGGCCGCAAGGCUAAAACCCAAAGGAAUUGACGGGGGCCCGCACAAGCGGCGGAGCAUGCGGAUUAAUUCGAUGCAACGCGAAGAACCUUACCAAGGCUUGACAUACACCGGAAUGGGCCAGAGAUGGUUCAGCCCUUUGGGCUGGUGUACAGGUGGUGCAUGGUUGUCGUCAGCUCGUGUCGUGAGAUGUUGGGUUAAGUCCCGCAACGAGCGCAACCCUCGUUCUAUGUUGCCAGCACGUGAUGGUGGGAACUCAUAGGAGACUGCCGGGGUCAACUCGGAGGAAGGUGGGGAUGACGUCAAAUCAUCAUGCCCUUUAUGUCUUGGGCUUCACGCAUGCUACAAUGGUUGGUACAAAGGGUGGCGAGACCGCGAGGUGGAGCGAAUCCCAGAAAGCCGAUCUCAGUUCGGAUCGUAGUCUGCAACUCGACUACGUGAAGUCGGAGUCGCUAGUAAUCGCAGAUCAGC